rnacentral:lncRNA from 1 species
AGGGCCACACCUGCGGCAUAUGGGAGUUCCCAGGUCGAAUCACAGCUACACCACAGGAUCCUUCAACCCACCGAGUGAGGCCAGGGAUGGAACCCACAUCCUCAGGGAUACUAGUUGGGUUCUUAACCCACUGAGCUGCAAAGGGAACUCCCCCCCAUAGUUUUUUUUUAAUUGAAGUAUAGUUGAUUUAUAAUGUCAUGUUAGAUUCUGCUGUACAGAAAAGUGGUUAAGUUAUACAUAGAUACAUUUGUUUAAAAAUAUUUUCUUCUGUGAUGGUUUAUCACCGGCUACUGAAUAUAGUUCCCUGUUUUAUAGAGUAGGACCUUGUUUUUUAAUCUCUUCUGUAUAAGUUAGUUUGCAUCUGCUAACCCCAAAGUCCCAGUCCAUUCCUCUCCCCUGCCCUUGCCAACCACUAGUCUAGUCUCUAUGUCUGUGAGUCUGUUUCAGUUUGAUAAAAGUUUAUUUGUGUCAUAUUUUAGAGUCCACAUAUAAGUGACAGCAUAUCGUAUGUGUCUUUCUCUUUCUGACUUGCUUCACUUCCUAUGAUCAUCUCUAGGUCCAUCCAUGUUGCUGCGAAUGGCAUGAUUUCAUUCCUUUUUAUGGCUGAGUAAUAUUCCAUUGUGGGUAUGGACCACAUCGUCUUUAUCCACUCCUCUGUUGAUGGACAUUUAGAUUGUUUCCGUGUCUUGGCUAUUGUAAAUAGUGCUUCUGUGAACACAGGGGUGCACGCAUCUUUUAAAAUUAUACUUUUGUCCAGAUAUAUUGCCCAGGCGUGGGAGUACUGGCUCAUAUGGCAACUCAAUUUUUAGUUUUUAGAGGAACCUCCAUAGUGUCUUCCAGAGUGGCUGCAUCACCUGACACUCCCACCACAGUGUAGGAGGGCUCCCUUUUCUCCACACCCUCGCCAGCGUUUGUCCUUUGUAGAUUUCCGAAUGAGUGGCCAUUGUGACUGGUGGGAGGUGGUACCUCACUGUAGUUGUGAUUUGCGUUUCUCUAAGAACUAGAGACAUUGAGCAUCUUUUCCUGUGCGUAUGGGCCAUCUGUAUUGUACCUUGGGUUUUAAAAAUCGCUAAUUCCCUCGCCACGAGAGUGGAGACGCCACUGGACAGGGCUUCUUGCUUUUGUGCGUAGUGUGUCCCAACGCCUGGGACCACACCCGACACAGACUUUGGCACCCAGGGUUUGUAAAAUGAUGAGCACAUAAGCGUGUCAAGUAGAAAGCACAACCUGCUUUUCCACUGAACACAUCACGGGUGGCGUCACACGCCGGUCAGGUGUUCCAUGCUGCACAGGAUGCUCCGAGGUGCUGCUGGACUCCCCUUCAACUUAUGUCAUCACAGGUGUCCAUCGUGGGAGCAUUUAGGUGGUCCCCGUUUUCCAGAAAGACAAGCCAUAAUGCCAUAUGAUCCUACCUUGGUACGACAGUGUGGAAAGUUUUACAGACUAAAUUCCAGAAGAAGUGGAAUUGUUACGACCCACUUCGGCAGUGCAUUCAUGAUGAUUUCUACUGCCGAGGAAGAGGUUGUGUCCUCCCUUAGAGUUCAAAACCACAGGAUCUGAAUUCCUGGAACCUUUUUAAUAAUGAACAAAAUUAUUUUUUAGCUGCCUCUGUGGAAGGUCCUGGGCCAGGAGUCGAACCUGUGCCACAGCAGCCGUAACCAGAGCCACAGCAGCGAUAACACCUAGCAAUGCAAGAUCUUUUAACCCAGCGCACCAGGCCUGGGAUCGAACCCACACCUCCACAACAACCCGAGCCCCUGCGGUCAGAGUCUGAACCCACUGCACUACGGCAGGAACGCCACAAAGCCUGAUCCUUCCUUAUCCAGCAGGGAACUAGACCACCAGGGAGCUCCGUCACUGGGACCUUUUAAACAUUGAUUCUUGGUGGUUCCACCAUCGUUACCACUCUUAGGACUUUCAGGCAAAAAUGUUACAGUAAGUGAAAUGCAGUUUUGGCACAGUCUGCUUCCAAAGCCUGUUUGGUACGGCCUGUGAACUAAGAACGGGCCGACGUUUUAAAUGUUUUGGAAAAAAAAAAAAUCAAAAGGUGAACAUUUCGUGACACAUGAAAAUGAUAUGAAAUCCACAGGUCUGAGAACAAGAUAGACUUGUACUGAAACAGCCACACUCAUCUGUUUAUGUAUUGUCCGUGGCUGCUUUCAGAUUGUGACAGCAAAGCUGAGUUGCUGUAACAGGUCGUGUGGCCCCAAAACUGUAAAAUAUUUCCUGUCUGAUCCCUUACAGACUCCAGCCCUGGAUCCCUGUCUUCCCAGCCCCAGUGAUAUCUCGUGCUGUGGUGGCCAAGUCUCCCGCUCCCGCCAGCAGCAAACUCAUGGCCCCCAAGUGCCCCCACCCUUCCCCGUUCUCCAUCCACCAAAAGCACAGCUCUCAUCCCCUUACUGAGCCCAAGUUAGGUGGGAGAAAAAAAGCAAAGCCUUUUAUUUUGCAGGCAGGUGAUGCAUAUAUGGCAAAUGAAUGGCGGAAGAAAUUUAGACUAAAGUGUGAAUGUCUAUUAGGCCUGGCCUUGAUUCGCCCAUCCAUAUAAAAGGUACCAGCAUUUUUCAAGGAACUUGCUCUCUGAAAGCCAGGGGUCUGUCUUUUUUGAAGGGGCCAUAAUCUUUUAGGGGACUUUACUAAUUUCUUCUCCGUGGGAAACUCUAGCUUGGUGCCAACCUCUCAUUCAUCCCUCCUCUCUAAAAUACAGGAACAAAGCGUAUAUGCAGUUUAAUUUGCCUACCACGCAAAAAGAACACUCAGAGGAGUUGCCAAUACAUGGAAAUCUCACUUCCCUUGUUUCAAAGUUUGCUGAUGUUUCCAAAAUCGCUUGAGUGAGAGGCUGUUGGUCACUGCACUCAGGGAUUCGUGUUUGCCUCACAUGUGGUUCGGGAAAAAGUGUAACCACCACAAUUUAAGAUUCCAGGCAAGUGUGGUCAUCUUUUCACACUACUAGCAUUUAAAGUGAAAAAAACCACAAUUUCCUCUCUUGCUAAAUUAGCAAACUGAUUAAAUCACACUGUUCCAAAGACAACUGGGGUAUUAUGAUCACAGCGAGCUUGAAAAUGCUGCCCCAGGAGUUCCCGCUGUGGCUCAGCAGGUUAAGAACUCGACAGAGGGUCCGUGAAGAUGUAGGUUGGAUCCCUGGCCUUGCUUAGUGGGUUAAGGAUCUGGCAUUGCUGUGGCUGUGGCGCAGGCCAGCAGCUGAGGCUCAGAUUUGACCACUAGCCUGGGAACUUCCAUAUGCCUCAGGUGUGGCCAUAAAAAGAGAAAGAAAAAAGAAACUACUGCCCCAUAGGGCAGAAAGAUUGCAUCAGGAGUGCAACCUGGAGGAAGUCAUGCGUUUUCUCCAUCACUGAAUCAAUUCAGUCUUUCCAUCACUUCCCUUCACUUCUGCCUCCCCGGCACUUGCUAGGAGGGUUUAAAAUGAGCAACACAAGGAAACAUCUCGCAGUCUUAGCCCUCUCUUGACUGCGCUCUCUUUCCUCUCCACAAGAGUUAGAGGCUGCGUUUCGUUUUUUGAAAGAUACCUCUUCUUUUUAGUUUUUUGGAAGGGAAAUGAGAGAAGGCAGGCAGCUUUAAAAACUCUAAGUGCUUCCAGCACUGCCGUAUUAUCACAGGAGACUCAUCGACAGGAGAGGAAACCCAAACGCGGGUAAGGUACCCAAAUUAUCCCGCCUAGAGGUGUCAUUGAUUUAUUUUCUCUUCCCCAAGAUUUUAUGGAGGUAUCAUUAAUGCACAGAGAAAGGCACGGCUCCCCAGGGUAAAACCUGGGUAUCAGCCUCUGUGACUCCCGGAACCAGUCCAAGACACGCAUCCCGUGCGUCCCUGGCAUUUCCUGGUGCCCGCCUCCAAUCGAGACCCUCUCCCAGGAGGGUGACCACGCUCAACAUGGAAAAGAGGCCAGCUGUUGUUGAACUUCAACUAAGUGGCUUCUCCCCGUGUGCAUUCUUGCACCUGACUCCGUCUCUCCACGUGGUUGAAAUACAUCCGCUGUUGCUUUUAUAGCUUGCUCGCUAGUAGUCCAGUAUAUGCAUAUACCAUUGGUUUAUCUGUCCUCCUGUCUCCUUGCUUGUAAGGCUGUUUGGUUUGCUUCUGUUCAGGUCUUAAGACUGGUCCCCUCUGUUUGCAUUGCCUAGUGCCUGACCCUUUGUGGGGCAGAAAGAAGAAGCAGCAAGAAUUGAGACUGACAGAUGACAUGGUGCAGGCCCCCGCCCAGGGCCUGGAAUGUUUGUUCCUUAUUUAUUUUGUUUUUUUGGGGGGGGCCACACCCUCGGCAUGCGGAAGUUCCUGGGCCAGAGAUGGAACUUAAGCCACCGCAGUGACCAGAGUCACAGCAGUGACAACACCAGAUCCUUAACCACUGGGCCACCAGGGAACUCCUGUUCCUUAUUCUUAAUUAAGCUAAUAAGGAACUGGACUCUGGAAGCCCGAGUUCAAAAGCACAUUGAAUGGUUUUUCUCUAAUGGGGGCAGCUGCACGGAAUCUGAUUUGCACAAUGAUUGUCCACGUGUAAAAUGCACGCCGAGCAACAGCACCGGCUACAGGCGUGACACAUGCUAAGAGGUGGAGGGCUGAGCAGGUGAGGCCAGGAGCUAAGAUCAUAUUUCCGCUUCUCAUUAAAUUCUCUCUUUUUCUUUUUUAUGGCCCCACCUGAGGCAUGUGAAAGUUGCCGGGAUAGGGGUCAAAUCGUAUCCGCUGAGGCCUAUGCCACAGCAUGUGGGCGACAAUGGAUCCUUAACCCACUGAGCGAGGCCGGGGAUAGAACCCCGCAUCCUCAUGGACACUACGUCGGGUUCUUAACCUGCUGAGCCGCAACGGGAAGUCCCACAUUCUCCGUUUCUUAUUAACAACCAACACUUUCCAACCUUCAAGUGACUAGAGAUGGUGGCUGCCCUGAGAGCAAUUUGGAAAAUUGUUUCAGUUAGACGGCUCCAGAGAGAAGCCUGGGUAAAUUGCCAGGAGUGGGGAACAUUUCAGGGGUGUCAAUCGGGGUCCCUCCAGGAGUUCCCGAUGUGUCGCAGCAGAAAGGAAUCCAACUAGGAUCCAUGAGGAUGCGGGUUUGGUCCCUGGCCUCACUCAGUGGGUUAAGGAUCCAGCCUUGCCGUGAGCUGUGGUGUAGGUCCCAGAUGCUGCUCAGGUCCCAAGAUGCUGUGGCUGUGGUGUAGGCUGGCAGCUGUAGCUCUGAUUUGACCCCUAGCCUGGGAACUUCCAUGUGCUGCGGGUGUGGCCCUAAAUAAAUAAAUAAAUAAAUAAAUCAGGGUCCCUCCAGCUUCUAACCCUUGUAAAAAAAUAAUCGGAUUCCUCCCCAGCCAGCAAGUCAUUUCUUGAUUGUCAUCGGUGGCGCAUAUGCAUCCAAAAAAAAAAAAAAUUACAACUAACACAAGGCAUUGUUAAGAAGCUUCUGGGCUGCAUUUGAUAAGAAAUGAGACUCUCUUCCAGCCCAAGAGGGGCAGGGGAAAGAGAGCCGGUGAGGGCAACAUUUCUCCCGAGGUUGCAAAGGCCACCCCUCACCUGCAGGAAGAGAAUGACAGUGAACUUGGCUGAGAAGGUGCGGCUUUGCGGGGAUUCCUCAGCACCACGGACACUGCUCGCGCUGAAAAUAUGAUUAUUAUUUUUUUAUACAAAUGACGUCUACAACGUUCCAGAAUGCUACGGUCAUGUGAGGCCCGGGUCAGGGUCAGUUCCUCUUACAACUGAGAAUCACUCGACUGGAGCGAGUAACCCUUCCUAAAAUAGGUGGACAUUCCUUUGGACUUGAGCCUCUUGUUCUUUCACAGUGUAAUGGCAUUUUUUCUUUUAAAGUAGCACCUUUCAGAUGUUCCCGUUGUGGCCCAGUGGAAAGCAAUCCGAUUAGUAUCCGUGAGGAUGCAGGUUUGAUCCCUGCCCUUCCUCGAGUGGGUCGGGGAUCCAGCGUUGCGGUGAGCUGUGGUGUAGGUCUCAGGUGCAGCUUGGAUCCCUCUUUGCUGUGGCUGUGGUGUAGGCCAUCAGCUAUUUCUCCCAUUUGACCCCUAGCCUGGGAACUUCCAUAUGCCGCAGGUGUAGCCCAAAAAGCAAAAAAAGAAACAAAGCAAAAUAAAAACGCNCCUUUUAAAGUAGGAUUUUUUAGGAGUUCCCUGAUGGCUUAGCAGCUAAGGGUCUGGCUUUGUGGUGUGGGUUUUUUUGGAUCUGUCUUUUUUUCUUUUUUUUUUUUUGGCUGCACCUAGGGAUCAAACCCACGUCCUCAUUGAUGCUAGACAGGUUCAUUAUCGCUGAGUCAAAACAGGAACGCCUGGGGCAUGGGGUUGAUCCCU